rnacentral:snoRNA from 1 species
AGUCCAUGGUGAGGGCAUCGCCUAUGCAAAUCCUUGUAUCUCUCCCAUGCCUCAUAUAGUGGUCACUCUCAAGUUGGGCAAUAUUAGAGAUUUCAAUACGCAU